rnacentral:lncRNA from 1 species
UACUAUGCUAUUAAUAGCACGAAGCACUUGGUGCUACCAAAUUUUCCGCCGUUAAAUCUAUCCUUUUGAUCAUUUUCACCCGUUAGAUCAUACUAUUCAACCAACCACUCACUCAACCCUAGGGGGCCCACAUCAUCCUAACCACACAUCUCUUAAUUCAAUGGCCAAAAACUUGGUAGCACCAAUGACUUUGUGCUAUUAAUAGCAUAGUAGCCUAAUUCUAUAUAUAUAUACAUAUAUAUAUAUAUAUACAUAUAUAUAUAUAUAUAUAUAGCUAUAUAUGUAUACUAUAUAAUUUUAUGUAACAAAU